UACGUAGGGUGCAAGCGUUGUCCGGAAUUAUUGGGCGUAAAGAGCUCGUAGGCGGUUAGUCGCGUCUGCUGUGAAAACUCGGGGCUUAACUCCGGGCCUGCAGUGGGUACGGGCUGACUAGAGUGCGGUAGGGGAGACUGGAAUUCCUGGUGUAGCGGUGAAAUGCGCAGAUAUCAGGAGAACACCUAUGGCGAAAGCAGCUCUCUGGGACGGUACUGACGCUGAGACGCGAAAGCGUGGGAGCGAACAGG
rnacentral:rRNA from 1 species